rnacentral:rRNA from 1 species
AGCAGCCGCGGUAAUUCCAGCUCCAAUAGCGUAUAUUAAAGUUGUUGCAGUUAAAAAGCUCGUAGUUGAAUUUCGGGAUUAGUAAGUUGGUCGUGCCUCCGGUAUGUACUGGCUCUACUGGUUCCUCCUUCUUGAAGAACUGUAAUGUCAUUAAUUUGGUGUUGCAGGGAAACAGGACUGUUACUUUGAAAAAUUAGAGUGUUUAAAGCAGGCUAACGCUUGAAUACAUUAGCAUGGAAUAAUGAAAUAGGAUGUUUGAUCCUAUUUUGUUGGUUUCUAGGAUUGACGUAAUGAUUAAUAGGGAUAGUUGGGGGCAUUAGUAUUCAAUUGUCAGAGGUGAAAUUCUUGGAUUUAUUGAAGACUAACUACUGCGAAAGCAUUUGCCAAGGAUGUUUUCAUUAAUCAAGAACGAAAGUUAGGGGAUCGAAGACGAUCAGAUACCGUCGUAGU